UACAGAGGUGGCAAGCGUUGUUCGGAAUUACUGGGCGUAAAGGGCGCGUAGGCGGUUCGUUAAGUCCUGUGUGAAAUCCCCCGGCUCAAUUGGGGAACUGCACAGGAAACUAGCGGGCUUGAGUUCGGGAGAGGGAAGCGGAAUUCCGGGUGUAGCGGUGAAAUGCGUAGAUAUCCGGAGGAACACCGGUGGCGAAGGCGGCUUCCUGGACCGACACUGACGCUGAGGCGCGAAAGCUAGGGGAGCAAACGGG
rnacentral:rRNA from 1 species